AAUAGAUACCCAGGUAGUCCACGCCGUAAACGAUGAGUGCUAAGUGUUAGAGGGUUUCCGCCCUUUAGUGCUGCAGCUAACGCAUUAAGCACUCCGCCUGGGGAGUACGGUCGCAAGACUGAAACUCAAAGGAAUUGACGGGGGCCCGCACAAGCGGUGGAGCAUGUGGUUUAAUUCGAAGCAACGCGAAGAACCUUACCAGGUCUUGACAUCCUCUGACAACUCUAGAGAUAGAGCGUUCCCCUUCGGGGGACAGAGUGACAGGUGGUGCAUGGUUGUCGUCAGCUCGUGUCGUGAGAUGUUGGGUUAAGUCCCGCAACGAGCGCAACCCUUAUCAAUAGUUGCCAGCGGUUCGGCCGGGCACUCUAUUGAGACUGCCGUUGACAAAACGGAGGAAGGUGGGGAUGACGUCAAGUCCUCAUGGCCUUUAUGUCCAGGGCUACACACGUGCUACAAUGGCAAGUACAAAGCGCUGCAAACCUGCAAAGGGGAGCCAAUCGCAAAAAGCUUGUCUCAGUUCGGAUUGG
rnacentral:rRNA from 1 species